rnacentral:rRNA from 1 species
GGUAUGGGAUGAGCUUGCGUCCGAUUAGCUAGUUGGCGGGGCAACGGCCCACCAAGGCGACGAUCGGUAGCCGGCCUGAGAGGGUGAUCGGCCACAUUGGGACUGAGAUACGGCCCAGACUCCUACGGGAGGCAGCAGUAGGGAAUAUUGCACAAUGGGGGGAACCCUGAUGCAGCAACGCUACGUGUGGGAAGAAGCAUUUCGGUGUGUAAACCACUGUCGUGAGGGAAUAAGGCCUGUUCUAGGACAGGAUUGAAUGUACCUCGAAAGGAAGCACCGGCAAACUUCGUGCCAGCAGCCGCGGUAAUACGAGGGGUGCAAGCGUUGUUCGGAAUCACUGGGCGUAAAGGGAGCGUAGGCGGAGAUUCAAGCGGAUUGUACAAUCCCGGGGCCCAACCCCGGACCUGCAGUCCGAACUGGAUCUCUUGGAUAGUUCAGGGGCAGGC